rnacentral:lncRNA from 1 species
CUCGAAAUUGGCUAUUGGGUUGGGAGCUUCUAAAGUAGCUUAAAUCCUUUUACUGUGAUCAAGCCUAAUUCUAAAUCACAAAACAUUUCUAAAGAAUUUCAUGUUCCGAAAACAUAGAAAAAUGAGACUAAGAGAUUUAAACUUAGCUUUUUAAUAAUUCUUCAAGAUUCGGAAUUCUCAUUGCGAGGGCUACAAGAGGAACCCAUCAAUCAUACGUAUAGCAUCCCAAAAGCUAGAGUUCAUUCAAAAUCUUCUAAAUUAAGGUACGCGGG